UACGUAGGGGGCAAGCGUUGUCCGGAUUUAUUGGGCGUAAAGAGCGUGUAGGCGGCCAUACAGGUCCGUUGUGAAAACUGGAGGCUUAACCUCCAGACGUCGAUGGAAACCGUAUGGCUAGAGUCCGGAAGAGGAGAGUGGAAUUCCUGGUGUAGCGGUGAAAUGCGCAGAUAUCAGGAAGAACACCCGUGGCGAAGGCGGCACUCUGGGCCGAUACUGACACUGAGGAGCGAAAGCGUGGGGAGCGAACAGG
rnacentral:rRNA from 1 species